rnacentral:tRNA from 3 species
GCCCAGAUGGCGAAACUGGUAGACGCGCUAGGUUCAGGUCCUAGUGGUGGAAACACCAUGGAGGUUCGAGUCCUCUUCUGGGCA